GACGAACGCUGGCGGCGUGCUUAACACAUGCAAGUCGAACGGAAAGGCCCUGCUUGCAGGGUACUCGAGUGGCGAACGGGUGAGUAACACGUGGGUGAUCUGCCCUGCACUUCGGGAUAAGCCUGGGAAACUGGGUCUAAUACCGGAUAGGAGCCAUUUUUAGUGUGAUGGUUGGAAAGUUUUUUCGGUGUAGGAUGAGCUCGCGGCCUAUCAGCUUGUUGGUGGGGUAAUGGCCUACCAAGGCGGCGACGGGUAGCCGGCCUGAGAGGGUGGACGGCCACAGUGGGACUGCGAUACGGCCCAGACUCCUACGGGAGGAAGCAGUGGGGAAGAUUGCACAAUGGGCGCAAGCCUGAUGCAGCGACGCCGCGUGGGGGAUGACGGCCUUCGGGUUGUAACCUCCUUCCGCUAGGGACGAAGCUUUUUGUGACGGUACCUAGAUAAGAAGCACCGGCUAACUACGUG
rnacentral:rRNA from 1 species